AGCACACAUCAAGGCCAGAAAUCAUCCAAACAAAGCAACUAACCAAGAGAUGGGACAUCACAUUUGAGAGAUAAAAUAUCACCUGAGAGGAUCCUCCCUCCCUCGAUUUGGGGCGCUGCUGCUACUUGUCUCCUUUGUGGAUGGGGGCAAGCUGUGGUCGAGCGGACGGCGGCGCGGCGAGGAGAAGUCAGGACAAGGUAGAGCCGCACGGAAGAAAGGGAAGGAUGGCUUGUGCGUCGUCCGGGAACACGAGGAGGGAGAUCGGCGCCCUUGCACCUGUCUGACCGGCGAACCUCAUCAGCAACCUCCUCUUCCCUGCCCAGCCUCGCCGUUCAUGACCUGACGGAGCAGGCUGGUCAACGAGCUAUGGGGGUGGAGCGAGAGGGGGUGCGGGUCGCUGGCGAUGGGGUUGGGGAAGAGCUCGACAGCGUCUUUCGCAUCGGCCGUGGCCGCCGGAGCUCAUCGGAGGCACGCCGAUGGUGGAGACGAGGUCUCGCCCCAAACCCUAGCCGUGGGGGAUGGGUUGGGCGCGGGUGUUGGAGGCAGGGAGGGACGGAUCUGGCCGGAAGGAUUAACAAGCAUGGCGAGGUGAACUCGGCAGGGUCCUCCGUGCCGGCUAUGGCCGCUGGAGCUCAGUGUUAAGGUCGGCGGCGGCGCCUAAGCCUAGGUCGCAGGAGGGCAGAGAGGAGAUGCGGAUGCGGGGGAGAGGGGCUUCGAUGCGGCAGGGUGGGGUUCCUUUUCUUUAUUUUCCAAUUACUUUGCCGUCAUUUGGA
rnacentral:lncRNA from 1 species